CAGUCGCCGCGGUAAUACGUAGGGUGCAAGCGUUAAUCGGAAUUACUGGGCGUAAAGCGUGCGCAGGCGGUUUUGUAAGACAGAGGUGAAAUCCCCGGGCUCAACCUGGGAACUGCCUUUGUGACUGCAAGGCUAGAGUACGGCAGAGGGGGAUGGAAUUCCGCGUGUAGCAGUGAAAUGCGUAGAUAUGCGGAGGAACACCGAUGGCGAAGGCAACCCCCUGGGCCUGUACUGACGCUCAUGCACGAAAGCGUGGGGAGCAAACAGGAUUAGAUACCCGUGUAGUCCCUGUCUCUUAUAA
rnacentral:rRNA from 1 species